CAUCAUUCUUUUUAACACUAUGGAGUUUUAUUACAUUUUAGAGAUUACUAGAGAGAGAAAAGGUUCCUUGGACAACACAACACUUGAGCUGAGCAAUGUAGGCUAAGAUCUGGCUUUAUUUAAGGGAAGAAUCCAGUAUCUGGCUGGGGUAACAGUAUGGUUCACAGCAUUCUUAAAGGUAUAUUCGCAUGUAAUAUUUAUAACUUCACUAUGACAUGCAGAUAGUGAGACUCCGAUGAAUUGGUUGGCCAAGGGCGCCCGGGAACAGAAAUUUUAACACAGUUUAUCUUAACUUUAAAUCCAUUUUUUUCUACCUGUUGUAUAUGCUUAAAUUGUGAAAAUAAAAUAGUCAUUGAAUAUUA